AGAGUUUGAUCCUGGCUCAGGACGAACGCUGGCGGCGCGCCUAACACAUGCAAGUCGAACGAGCGAGAGAGAGCUUGCUUUCUCAAGCGAGUGGCGAACGGGUGAGUAACGCGUGAGGAACCUGCCUCAAAGAGGGGGACAACAGUUGGAAACGACUGCUAAUACCGCAUAAGCCCACAGGUCGGCAUCGACCAGAGGGAAAAGGAGCAAUCCGCUUUGAGAUGGCCUCGCGUCCGAUUAGCUAGUUGGUGAGGUAACGGCCCACCAAGGCGACGAUCGGUAGCCGGACUGAGAGGUUGAACGGCCACACUGGGACUGAGACACGGCCCAGACUCCUACGGGAGGCAGCAGUGGGGAAUAUUGCACAAUGGGGGAAACCCUGAUGCAGCGACGCCGCGUGGAGGAAGAAGGUCUUCGGAUUGUAAACUCCUGUUGUUGAGGAAGAUAAUGACGGUACUCAACAAGGAAGUGACGGCUAACUACGUGCCAGCAGCCGCGGUAAAACGUAGGUCACAAGCGUUGUCCGGAAUUACUGGGUGUAAAGGGAGCGCAGGCGGGAAGACAAGUUGGAAGUGAAAUCUAUGGGCUCAACCCAUAAACUGCUUUCAAAACUGUUUUUCUUGAGUAGUGCAGAGGUAGGCGGAAUUCCCGGUGUAGCGGUGGAAUGCGUAGAUAUCGGGAGGAACACCAGUGGCGAAGGCGGCCUACUGGGCACCAACUGACGCUGAGGCUCGAAAGUGUGGGUAGCAAACAGGAUUAGAUACCCUGGUAGUCCACACCGUAAACGAUGAUUACUAGGUGUUGGAGGAUUGACCCCUUCAGUGCCGCAGUUAACACAAUAAGUAAUCCACCUGGGGAGUACGACCGCAAGGUUGAAACUCAAAGGAAUUGACGGGGGCCCGCACAAGCAGUGGAGUAUGUGGUUUAAUUCGACGCAACGCGAAGAACCUUACCAAGUCUUGACAUCCCUUGACGAUACUGGAAACAGUAUUUCUCUUCGGAGCAAGGAGACAGGUGGUGCAUGGUUGUCGUCAGCUCGUGUCGUGAGAUGUUGGUUAAGUCCCGCAACGAGCGCAACCCUUACUGUCAGUUACUACGCAAGAGGACUCUGGCAGGACUGCCGUUGACAAAACGGAGGAAGGUGGGGAUGACGUCAAAUCAUCAUGCCCUUUAUGACUUGGGCUACACACGUUCUACAAUGGCGUUAAACAAAGAGAAGCAAGACCGCGAGGUGGAGCAAAACUCAGAAACAACGUCCCAGUUCGGACUGCAGGCUGCAACUCGCCUGCACGAAGUCGGAAUUGCUAGUAAUCGUGGAUCAGCAUGCCACGGUGAAUACGUUCCCGGGCCUUGACACACCGCCCGUCAAGGGCGAAUUCGCGCGGCUAAUUCAUCGCCCUAUAUGGUCAUCUGGCC
rnacentral:rRNA from 1 species